GUAGGUGAACCUGCGGAAGGAUCAUUACAUUCAGUAGCUUGCUACUGGUCGGGAGGUGCUGUAACUCCGCAUAGUAUUCAUUUACUGAUGAGCGGCCGGCCCUCUGUCUGUACCCUUGUCUUUUGCGCACUCAUGUUUCCUCGGCGGGCUUGCCCGCCGAUUGGACAAAACUAUAACCUUUUUAAUUUUCAAUCAGCGUCUGAAAAAACUUAAUAAUUACAACUUUCAACAACGGAUCUCUUGGUUCUG
rnacentral:misc_RNA from 1 species